rnacentral:rRNA from 1 species
GAUGAACGCUGGCGGCGUGCUUAACACAUGCAAGUCGAACGAUGAAGCCCAGCUUGCUGGGUGGAUUAGUGGCGAACGGGUGAGUAACACGUGAGUAACCUGCCCUUGACUCUGGGAUAAGCCUGGGAAACUGGGUCUAAUACUGGAUAUGACUUCUCAUCGCAUGGUGGGGGGUGGAAAGAUUUAUUGGUCUUGGAUGGACUCGCGGCCUAUCAGCUUGUUGGUGAGGUAAUGGCUCACCAAGGCGACGACGGGUAGCCGGCCUGAGAGGGUGACCGGCACCACGGGGCUGAAGACCGGCCCCGGCCCCCCGCGGGAGGCGGAAGUGGGGAUUAUGGCAAACUGGCCAGAACCAUGAGCCGGCGCCGCGGGGUGGGGAUGGGGGCCUUUCGGGUUUAACACUUGUCUGAGCAGGGAAAAGGCGGGCGGCACGGAGCUUAAAAAAGGGAAGCGGCCAACCUAGCUC